rnacentral:rRNA from 1 species
UACGAAGGUCCCAAGCGUUGUUCGGAAUCACUGGGCGUAAAGGGAGCGUAGGCGGCGCGGUAAGUCAGAUGUGAAAUCCCGGGGCUCAACCCCGGAACUGCAUCCGAUACUGCCAUGCUAGAGGAUUGGAGAGGUAGCUGGAAUUCUUGGUGUAGCAGUGAAAUGCGUAGAGAUCAAGAGGAACACUCGUGGCGAAAGCGAGCUCCUGGACAAUCCCUGACGCUGAGGCUCGAAGGCUAGGGUAGCAAAAGGG